AUUUAAAUAGUGUAAUAAAUAAAACACAUAACUUUUUCAUUGUUAAAAUCCUUUAGGUUUAAAUU
rnacentral:tRNA from 1 species